rnacentral:miRNA from 1 species
AUAGAAAAUAAAACACAUACUGUUUUAUUAUAUUUAUAUUAUUUAUCAGGUAGUGAUAAAUUCUAUCACUACCUGACAAUACAGUAUGUGUUUGUUUUAUAUGUUU